AUGGGUCUGGGCUCCAGCGGGGACAUUCUCGUGACUCAGACUCCAGAGUCCCUGGCCGUGUCCCCAGGGGACACAGUCACCAUCAAGUACAAAACCAUUUCCAACAUAUUUAGCCGCAUGGCCUUGUACCAGCAGAAACCAGGGCAGGCCCCUAAGCUCCUUCUGUAUGGCACAAGCAGCCGCCCCUCCGGGAUCUUCGACCGGUUCAGCGGCAGUGAGUCUGGCACCGACUUCGCUUUCACCAUCAGCCGGGUGGAGGCUGGUGAUGCUGGAGACUAUUGCUGUCAGCAUGGUUAUGGCACCCCUCUCACAGUGCUACAGCUCAUUACAAAAACCUCCCUGCUCUCUUCGGGUUCUGCUGCUCCCAACUCCAGCUGCUUCCUGCUCAGAUUCAGAAGCCAGUGA